AAUUCUAGGUGAAGAGUCUGAAUAAAAGCCACCAAUCCCUGAAUAGGAAAAUCCACCAAACCCUGAACUUCCCACAGAAACUCACCUAUCCCUGGACAUCAAAACCCACCAAUCCCUGAACUCCCCCAGGCUCAGAAAUUGAGAUGCCAGCCAUCCUCACUCUGGAAAUCUUACUCUAGAAAGGUCAGUGCCCUAAGAACACCUGUAUAAGCACUGGACUUUGUCCAAUUAGCAAGUGCUCUCUGCACCCUCCUGAAACCAUAGGCACUAAUAUUCCAGGAUGCAUUCUUCCAUACUGUGGACACACCAAUGAAUGCCUUUCAUGAGCUCUGCUGUCAUGUUCUUCUCUCAUUGGAAGAAGACAAGAAGCAAUGAAGACAAGAAAGGAAGAAAAGGAGUAGGCCUGAGCCUCCUGAGCUCCUGAGCUCAGCUGGGGACAUCCUUCCCUGGAGCUGGGAAGCCUCCAAUGAGAAAGGAGACUUCCUCUCAAAGAUGUGUGGUUCCUGGGCUCCCGUGUCUCCAGAUACCCUUCCCUUGGGACACUGUCACACCUCAGAGCUGGAUGGUUCCUGAGUUCCAAGGCCCUGAACACCUUCUCAUCCGAGCACAAAGGCCAACAACCAGGGCCACUGGCCCUACAAGAUCCAGAUAUCAUCUGGUAAAGUCUGAGAACCAACUCCCAGAGACGGGUCACGCAGAAGCUAAUCCUGAAGCUUCAUUUUCCUCGACACUGGCAGAUAAAAGCCACCAGCCUCCACAGGAGCGCCUGUCUCAUCAAUGGGUCCAGCCAUAUUCCAGAUUUGGAAGGACCUUGGCAAGGAUCUGACAAACAUUGCGGGAAGAUCUCUGAGAGAUCUGUACAGGAUCCCAGAGGGUUCCCUGGGCAAAGAUCUAGAGGCUGUUUCUGAGACACGGGUGGACAAUUGCUAUGUCAGACAGCCAAGAAGUGACUCACCAAGUCCCCAGCUAGUCUCCCCAGGAAAACAGCAGCUAGAGGGUAUACUGAAAACCACUCAAGCAGCAAGUGGAGCCAUUACAAUGCCACUAAGGCACUUGUCAAGGAAUUGCUGUGGACCACACAGUGGUCCUUCCUGAAAACUCAGAGACAAGUUCUGAAAACCCAGAGACAAAUAUGGAAGCUCAGAAGCAGUGAUCCUUGAGUGAUGGGGCCACCUGCAAGAAUAUUUCCCAAUGGGCCUUCAUUCCUUCAAGAAGAUGCCUUUUGGGUGAGGCAAAAAGAUGGAGCUUGCUUCUCAGAGACCUCAAAAUCCUACAUCUUUCCAACACAAACAGGUCUGUAGCUUUGCCAUUUCCACAGCCUCUGACUCCCUCUCUGACCUGCUGGGAUUCUAGAGAUGAUUUCCUGGGAGAGCUUUUUCAGAAAAGUUCAGAAGAGGAAGUGAGGACAAAAAUGGCUUCUAGUAUAUGCAGACUGCUCCCUCUACCUGCCGGCUCAAAUUCCUGAGAGGGAGUCCAUCUAAUGACAACAAUUGGCCAUCUGAGGCACCCAAAGUGUUUAGAAGGACAAUGUGACUUCCCUAUGCACCACACACUGCAUUGUGGGCAGAGACUGGCCCAGUGAUAAGGCUCUAGGAUCUUGGACAGGCAACCCAGAGCCAGGUUCAAACCUAGUCAAGGAUAGGUAUGAGCCCCAGGAGAGUAAGGGUGUGGCCUUUGGAGAUCUCUACCACGGGCUGUCAGUUUGGGAGAUCAGUGUGGCACCCCAGUCACCAAGUACUAGAGGUAUGGGGACUGGAGGAGGCAGGGGAGGAGCAGGAGCCCCGUGACUGGGCACUCAACAUGGAAGCCAGGGAGAUGGCAAGCUCUCAAACUUAACAAGGGGCAGCUGAGCGAUUUAGAAUCACUGCAGACCAGCAAAAGCUAUUCCCCUUCCAUGACUAUUUUCCAGGAUCCAGAAGACUUAUGCCUGAACACAUCUCACUGUGACUCAGCUACCGAUGUCAGUUGUAGGACUGUACCACUGGCAUGUUCUUUCAAGACGGUGCCUCCAAGGUCCUGCUGGCUGCAGAUAUCCCUGUCUCCAGGUCCUCAGAAUCUAGCAAGACUGUGUCCUCUACCAGAAAAUUAUCUUUCCAAGACAGGUGUCCUUGUCAAGAGCAGGGAAUGUUGACAAGACUCCCAGACCUCAGGAGCCUUUGACUUUCCAUCUCCACACAUUGGACUGUCCAUGUCCCAGGCAGGACAUAUUUUCCUGACAGAGAUGAGACCUGCCCAAGCCUACAGGUCCCAGUACUCAUGAAAGCUUCUCUUCCCUACUUGCAAAAAAAGAUGUUCAAGGACAGCAUUAAAAAAAUUAUGUCAAUUUUGACUUCCAAAAGCAAAAUCCAGAAAAACAUCCUGCAAAAUGUGAAGUACUUGUCAACCCCCUACUCCGAGGCUCAGUCAUGAGUAGAGUGUUCAUGCCCCGACAGGUAGCUGAAACACAAGGGGAAGCUGGGGUUUGGUCAGGCCAAUAGUACUGACCUCAAAAAAAAAAAAAUCUGCAUAAGGAAUCACUCCAGGCUCAGGUGAGUAGGAAGGUCUGCCACCUCAGGAGUCUCUUGGCAGAAACACAGAAAGCACAGGGAAUUAUUUGCUGUGUUCAUCAACCCAAAGCCUAGGCACACAGCUAACCUUCCACAGAAGUAUAACCCCACAAUCAAGCAGGCCCAUCUAUCUAGAGAGGCUGUCUCCUGAGCUAAUCCCUAUCAGCAUGGGUCAGCCACCACAGGUCCCAGGAACCCCUGUCCACUGUCCCAGGCCCUGUCUCUUGGAAUAGCUACUUGGAAUAGCAAAUGCAUUUUCAUACCUACCCUGAGAGGAAAUUUCCCCAUUAAAAAAUAUAUAUAUUCCUCAAAACAAAACAAACAGAAACAAAACAAAUUUUUAAAAAAUGAUCUCUGAGUAUGUAUGUUUUCUCUUGAGGCCAUGUCUGCGUUGCUAUGCCACAGGAAAACAUCUCUAUCUGCUUCUGGAGGAGUCAAGGCUCCACCCAGAGGGGAUAGUGACCUUUGAAGUCUCACCGUCUCCAGUUCCAGCACUGUAGUUAGCGUUCAUCACAGUGUAAUUAUGAACAUAAAGAGGAAAACUUUAGGAUGAGGGCUGUGAGUCAUCUCUAUAAGACUCCACUCCAGGGGCUACUUCACUAAUCUGACCUUUGCUGUGUGGAUGGGUACACAGAGCCACCAAUGAGUGCAGUACCUUUGCAAGUCACAAAGUAGGCAGAGGGAGGAUAGUGGUCCUGUGCAAGCCUUGAGUUGAAAGCAGGAGAAACAUUACCUUUGGUUAUCCUGCUUCGGAAGACAGGACUCUUAUCUUACCCUACUCACCCCAGUGGAGGUGGCCAACAAUCUCAGUCCUCCAGGCCAUUCCAGCUCAGCCUGGAUGACAAAGCAGUGGACCCUGUCCAAUGUCUAUCUUCAACUCCAGAGUGGUGGCCAUCAUGGGACUAACUGCUCUACAUGAGGGCUGUGGAUGGUUCCAUGACCCCUGGUCCUUUGCCAUUCCUUCUGGUCCAGUAUCUACAGUGCCCAUCUGAUUGUGGGCAUGAAAGAGCCUUCGGAGGGAGGAAGAUAGUAAAAGGAUUAGAGCCAAGGCAGGAGGCCAUACAGCAUGAGGAUGCCCUGAAAAUCUCCAUGCGUGUGAAGCCCCUGCCCUCCCAGUGUAGACCGCUGACAUGGGGUCUGAGCCACUCAGCUUGACCUCAUCCCAGGCUCUCCACCAGCAGUUGGAAGAGCCUUUUAGCCUAAACUAACUUGAAAUAAAUGGAAAGUUAUUUGCUUAGCAGCAUUUCUAAUAAUCUGCAUGUUGUUACCUAGAGACACGAUGAUGGAAAAGCCGGAGGUAGGAACUCUGAAUGUCACUCACAGUAUGACACGUGUGGUCUUUGGACACAUGCACUGUGGCUACAGCACUCCCAAGGGAAAGGAGGACACCUGACAAGGGUUGAGAGGAUACACUGCGGCCUCACAGCGAGUCAUGCUAGGCCUCCAGUCUUUGUUCUCCCACAAGGUUAGCAAAACUCUCAUCUCACGGGACUGGUUUACACGGUGGAAGGGACCUGUCCAAUGCGCAGGUGUCUUUUGAAUCUCUGGGCAAGCCAAAGAGGGUCCCUUGCUCCUCCCUCUGCUUCCUGCCCACGUUUCCUUGUCCCAGUCUCUGUAAACAAGCGUGGGUAACUGAAGAGAGUAGCAAUCUCCCGUGUGCCCCGCACUGCUCCUCACAGAGGGCGGCCAGUGGGCAGCUCCGGCAGAACUCUUUAUUCCCUGGUAGAAAACUCUGACCCAGGAGGUGCCGCCGAGGAAGAGGACUUAGCCACAGGCACGGUUCCAGCACACUCCCCAAGGCUUCACGGGUGAGACUCAGUAGAUCCUUAGAGGUGGCUAUGGGACCCACAGUCCCUUUCUGAGCUGGCCCGGUCUCCUGGCAGCAGCCUCACAGUGGUCCCAGAAGCCAGAGUGAUGAGCCCUUUUCCCCACAUAGACUUCUAUUUGGCCACAAGGCAGAGGAACAGAAACCGUAUCUUUCCAUUUGAAAUAGCCACAAUCAAUACGCCAAGUCAAUGAUUUUAGGAGACUGAAGAACUAUGGUAAAGACCACCGACUCCUGGUAACAAGGGGAGCUGGCCAUCUUGAGUGGCUUUCUAGGAGCGUGGGGAAAAGGAAACGGAGGUAGAGUGCAGAAACGCCUGGAUUAAAGGCGCAAACCUAUGAGUCCGGAGAGCUGCUAAUGAACACGGAGUUCUGGUGAGGCCAGAACUAUCCAGAGAGAUCCCCAAAGAUGUGAACAGGAUCCUUCAGGUAUUGAGUAGAGUGCUGGUGGGCACACAUGUUCGGAGCUAGCAGCACAGAGAAAGGCUCACCCGAGGGACCGGCACCUACCUGCAUCUCGCAGAACUUAAUAGUCUGAGUUUCUGUUGAGGGUAGUGAAGCUCUUAGGUGAAUGGACCCUGGAGGCGGCUGUAGAACAAAGGCAACUGAGACCAUUGAGCUGUACACUUCAAACGGUUAAGAUGGGCCAGGCACAAUGGUGCGCACCUGCAGUCUGAGCAUCCAGGAUGCUGAAGGGGGUGGAGCUCAUGUUCAAGGCCAACCUGAGCUCCGUCCUGAGACUCUCUCCACAAACAAAAAUAGAACAAGCGUUAAAAUAGUGCAUUUUAUGUUGUAUUUAUUACAAAACAGUUACUGUAACUAGAGAUAACUGGCUGGUUGAAUAACAGCAGCAGAACAGCGUGUCGCUGUAGUUAUUAUCUAUUUUAUUAACACUUCCCUGGCAGAUGUGAACAAAUGUCUACUCACUGUAAUGGAACAUCAGUGAUGGACUGAAGCAAGGACCGCACCCAAUCCAGCUUGGUGAAUGGACGAGUUUACUGGGCUUCCUUGAAGGAACACAGUGAAGGGCUACUUGCAGGAGCAUGGGUGAACCCCACACAGCUGCAUCCACAAAGCCCCACCCCAUAGUGAUUAAUAAUCUCUGAAGGCUUCAUCACAGAGAGUACCCCGACCUUGUUAACCAUCCACUUCCUGUACACUCUAGCGUCUGCCAAGGUCACUUGCUUGCUGGCUGGUUGGAUCAAGAGAAAAUGACUGGAAUCCCAGGUAUUAGUUCCGUUACAGAGUGGGGCAAGAAAUGGCUGUUCCAGAAGGCUAAAAUGAGCCCAAGAUAAAGUAAUUGGCCUCUGAACCUGCAAAAUUGGCCUCUGAACCUGCAAGAUUCCACACUUCCCACAAUUCCGAUGAGUGCACCAGUCUCUGCAGACCCAGACUCCUUCCAGGUUUUGUUCACAACCAGACACAGCUUCCUUCUUUUCAGGAAUCUUCAUUCACACAAAUAAAUGUGAAUGUCCACC
ensembl:lincRNA